rnacentral:pre_miRNA from 1 species
GUGUGUGCAGGAAUGGUGUUUAGCACCAGGGGCAGGUAAAUGUGUGUGUGUGCAGGAAUGGUGUUCAGCACCAGGGACAGGUUUGUGUGUGU